UACAGAGGUGGCAAGCGUUGUUCGGAAUUACUGGGCGUAAAGGGCGCGUAGGCGGCGGUGCUGGCCCGGCGUGAAAGCCCCCGGCUCAACCGGGGAGGGUCGUCGGGGACCGCACCGCUUGAGGGCGGUAGGGGCUGGUGGAAUGCCUGGUGUAGUGGUGAAAUGCGUAGAGAUCAGGCGGAACACCCGUGGCGAAGGCGGCCAGCUGGGCCGUCCCUGACGCUGAGGCGCGAAGGCGUGGGGAGCGAACGGG
rnacentral:rRNA from 1 species